rnacentral:rRNA from 1 species
UACGUAGGGGCAAGCGUUGUCCGGAAUCAUUGGGCGUAAAGAGCGUGUAGGCGGCCAGAAAAGUCCGCUGUGAAAACUCGAGGCUCAACUUCGAGCUGUCGGUGGAAACUUUCUGGCUAGAGUCCGGAAGAGGAGAAUGGAAUUCCUGGUGUAGCGGUGAAAUGCGCAGAUAUCAGGAAGAACACCCGUGGCUAAGGCGGCUCUCUAGUACGGUACUGACGCUGAGACGCGAAAAGCGUGGGGGAGCGAAACAGGG